GAGUUUGAUCCUGGCUCAGGAUGAACGCUGGCGGCGUGCUUAACACAUGCAAGUCGAACGGGAAGCGGUGCAUAUUUGCUUAGGUGAAUUUUGUGCCGUGGAGAGUGGCGAACGGGUGCGUAACACGUAGGUAACCUGCCCCGAAAGGGGGAUAACCACGGGAAACUGUGGCUAAUACCGCAUGAUCUCGCCGGGACGAGAGUUCGGUGAGGAAAGCUGAGGCGAUUUGGGAGGGGCCUGCGGUCGAUUAGCUGGUUGGUGGGGUAAAGGCCUACCAAGGCGAUGAUCGAUAGCUGUUCUGAGAGGAAGACCAGCCACACGGGAACUGAGACACGGUUCCGACUCCUACGGGGGGCAGCAGUGAGGAAUAUUWCGCAAUGGGGGAAACCCUGACGCAGUAACGCCGCGUGGAGGACGAAGGUUUUCGGAUUGUAAACUCCUUAACUGGGGGAAGAGGAAGGACGGUACCCCAGGACGAAGACACGGCUAACUAGGUGCCAGCAGCCGCGGUAAUACCUAGGUGUCAAGCGUUAUCCGGAAUUACUGGGCGUAAAGGGUGCGCAGGCGGCGAUACAAGUCUGGCGUGAAAGCUCCUGGCUUAACUNGGAGAGGACGUCGGAAACUNUAUGGCUAGAGUGAAUAAAAGGRGGGCGGAAAUCCCGGUGUAGUGGUG
rnacentral:rRNA from 1 species